UCCCGGUUAACCCGGGCAGUCUCAUUAGAUUCCCCAGCCACACUGUUGGCAACUAAUGAUAAGGGUUGCGCUCGUUGCGGGACUUAACCCAACACCUCACGGCACGAGCUGACGACAGCCAUGCAGCACCUGUGCAGACGCUCCGAAGAGAGGUAUCAUCUCUGAUACUGUCAUCUGCAUGUCAAGCCUAGGUAAGGUUCUUCGCGUUGCAUCGAAUUAAACCACAUGCUCCACUGCUUGUGCGGGUCCCCGUCAAUUCUUUUGAGUUUCACCCUUGCGAGCGUACUCCCCAGGCGGCAUACUUAACGCGUUAGCUUCGGCACAGUCGGGGUUGAGUCCGGCUACACCAAGUAUGCAUCGUUUACGGCAAGGACUAC
rnacentral:misc_RNA from 1 species